rnacentral:rRNA from 1 species
UACGAAGGGGGCUAGCGUUGCUCGGAAUCACUGGGCGUAAAGCGCACGUAGGCGGAUUGCUAAGUCAGGGGUGAAAUCCUGGAGCUCAACUCCAGAACUGCCUUUGAUACUGGCGAUCUUGAGUCCGGGAGAGGUGAGUGGAACUGCGAGUGUAGAGGUGAAAUUCGUAGAUAUCGGGAGGAACACCUGUGGGCGAAGGCGGUGGUCUGGACCAAAACUGACGCUGAGGAGCGAAAGCCAGGGGAGCAAACGGG